rnacentral:rRNA from 1 species
AGUGAACGCUGGCGGUAGGCCUAACACAUGCAAGUCGAACGGCAGCACAGUAAGAGCUUGUUCUUCCGGGUGGAGAGUGGCUUACGGGCGAGGAAUACAUCCGUAUCUACCCUUUCGUGGGGGAUAACGUAGCUAAACUUACGCUAAUCUCGCAUCCCACCUACGUGUGUAAGCAGGGGAUCUUCGGACCUUGCUCGAUUGACUGAACCGACGUCGGAUUAGCUAUUUGGUAGGGUAAUGGCCCACCAAGGCGCCCACCCGUACCUGGUCUGAGAGGAGGAUCAGCCACACUGGAACUAAGAAACGGUCCAGACUCCUACGGAAGGCGGCAGUGGGGAAUAUUGGACAAGGGGGGCAAGCCUGAUCCAGCCAGACCGCGUGGGUGAGGAAGGCCUUCGGGUGGUAAAGCCCUUUGGUUGGGAAAGAAAAGCAGCAGGGUAAUACCCCGCUGUUCUGACGGUACCCAAAGAGUAAGCACCGGCUAACUUCGUG